CGAUACUUGGUGUGAAUUGCAGAAUUCAGUGAAUCAUCGAAUCUUUGAACGCACAUUGCGCCCCCUGGUAUUCCGGGGGGCAUGCCUGUUCGAGCGUCAUUUCACCACUCAAGCCUCGCUUGGUAUUGGGCAACGCGGUCCGCCGCGUGCCUCAAAUCGACCGGCUGGGUCUUCUGUCCCCUAAGCGUUGUGGAAACUAUUCGCUAAAGGGUGCUCGGGAGGCUACGCCGUAAAACAACCCCAUUUCUAAGGUUGACCUCGGAUCAGGUAGGGAUACCCGCUGAACUUAAGCAUAUCAAUAAGCGGA
rnacentral:rRNA from 1 species